CUUUCAAAAACUCAACAUCUGACAAUUCCUAUAACGUCCACCCCUUUCUUCCUCUGUUCUCCCUUCCUAUAACUCUACUCUAAAUGUAAAGUUUCUUCAAAAACAUGACAAGCUAAGCUAAGCUAACCUAAACUCAUGCAAAGGUGUCCAUAGAAAGCCAAGCAGGAUAUUGAGGACAAUUUGGCUCUGCAUUAGGGUGUGC